CACCUUAAGAGAAGGUAUCUUUAAUGAACUGAUCCAUUUCCAGGUGGAAGGAUAGUUCUCUGAUUCUUUUUGGAAGAAGGAUUUGUUUUGGAUUGAGUUUUUAAAAAAUUUGGAUGGAAAUUCUUUGGUACCCUAAAUGAGGUAGUUUAUCCUCAGCUCAUCCUAGAGUUCUAUGAGAAUGCCAAUAUAGAACCAAAUGGUACCAUCUCAAAGGUGAAGGGCAA
rnacentral:lncRNA from 1 species